rnacentral:rRNA from 1 species
ACGGGUGAGUAACGCGUGGGUAACCUGCCUCAUACAGGGGGAUAACAGUUGGAAACGGCUGCUAAAACCGCAUAAGCAUACAUUGUCGCAUGACAGAGUGUGAAAAUAUUAAUAGGUAUGAGAUGGGCCCGCGUCUGAUUAGCUAGUUGGUAGGGUAACGGCCUACCGAGGCGACGAUCAGUAGCCGGCUUGAGAGAGUGACCGGCCACAUUGGGACUGAGACACGGCCCAAACUCCUACGGGAGGCAGCAGUGGGGAAUAUUGCACAAUGGGGGAAACCCUGAUGCAGCGACGCCGCGUGAGUGAAGAAGUAUUUCGGUAUGUAAAGCUCUAUCAGCAGGGAAGAAAAUGACGGUACCUGACUAAGAAGCCCCGGCUAACUACGUGCCAGCAGCCGCGGUAAUACGUAGGGGGCAAGCGUUAUCCGGAUUUACUGGGUGUAAAGGGAGCGUAGGUGGUUCGGCAAGUCAGAUGUGAAAGCCCGGGGCUCAACCCCGGGACUGCAUUUGAAACUGUCGGACUAGAGUGCAGGAGAGGUAAGUGGAAUUCCUAGU